AACAUAAAUAAAACCAGAAGAAUUCAAUCCAUAAAAUUUUAAACUGCACCAAAGCUGUAAAAUAUCUCUCAUUAUGAAUAUUAAGAUUAAAAUAAUUUUAUGUGGCAAAAUUAACAUUGUGCAUGUACCUCGUGAAUAUCUAUUUUCUUGUUCAAUGUGAUUGAUAAAUAGAAACUAGAUUAAUGACAAAUUCAAACGAAAGUUGUAACAAAGAAAUGUCUUACCAAAGUCACUUAUUAUGAUGAAUAUUCAUGAAGGUCUUUAAUGUAAAGACCAAACUCCACAUAUCAUACUUUUAAGGGGACACAUAAGGGGUACAAGAUAUCAAAACUUAUUUUAGCAUUCAUUUUGAAGUGUUCAAGCCACAAAUGAAUAUUUGACUAAAUCAGUAUUAGUCAGGAGACCACCAAUAGACAAAUUGAUUUUAAAACUUGGCAAAAAUUAUUAGUGAUGUAAAAAAAUAACCCAAUAUAAAGAUCUUGUUAAACAAUAAAUCAUGCUUUUCAGAUCAAGGUCAGGAAACACCUUAUAGGAAUGCAAUUACAAUCUUCUAUGGAGGGGAGACAAUGCUAUCUUUUUGUGAUUCUCCUUAAAAAUUAUCUGACAGGACAUAUACAAAACUCACAAUAUUAACUUGGGUAACAAAAAUAUUAUAAGGCUUUAAAAAAUGCAUAUAAACCAUUUGAUGACACUUUGAAUUACUAUCUUUAUACAUAAAUAAGGAUUUCACCAAGUCAGUUUGCUAAUGCAUAUAAACGUCUGUUUAACAAUGCUUUCUCAUCAAAAAUCAAUACUGAACAGUGCAAGAAUAAUUUUCAAUAUUUAUUUACAAAGAAUUAUCAAGGUUUUAAAAAAAACAUCAGGCUCAAUGGAACAUUAUCAUUUUUUUUGGUGAAAAUAAAUUAAUUCUAAUGUGUUAAGCUAUUAAUUGGCAACAAUAUGUACUGUAACUAACUUACUUGUAGUGUAUAAUAAAAUAGUGUAAUAUGUAUAAAUACAAAAUGAUACUGGCAACAGAUAUUUAGAACUGAUUGACUGUCAUAGAAAUGGGCUGGGAGGCUAUAAUCUAAUUAUUCAACUCAUCUUUUUCAUUACAAAAGGUUUAAACCAAAUCAUGACAUGAUCAGUCCAUAAUCAGCUGGUCUCUUGAAGAAGGGCUGGAUGUUCCCUUGAGGAUGGCUUGAAGACAUGUAACAGGUAAACAGGGACAUCAAUUUAUUUAGAAUAUACAUAGACGUUUAGAACAUUUAGUAAUUUAAUUUAAUGUCUACAACAUGAUGUAUAGCUAUCCUUCUUUAUCAUAACUGCAUAUGGGAGAGGGAGGGGGGGGGGUCAACCUGACAAAACUCUCGAUAAAAAAUCCCUACAUUGUAUUUUAUACUUUAAGGCCUCAAUAAACAAAUACAUUGAGUAACCACAUUAUUCAUCCAUUUAAAAACAAAAGCACUAAAAUAUAUGUACAUUAAACAUGUUUGAUACAAUAUCUAAAAUGUCACCAUAAAAAUAUGAGAUCACGGAUUUUAAGACAUGGAAAAAUCAACAUUAUAUUUACAUAAAACUUCAUGGUCAUGUUAUGGACAGUUCUAGAACAUGAUGGCUGUUAAAUGGACUAUUCUGAAUAAAACUGAAAAUACUACAUAUAUAAAAAGUUAUCUCCUGUUCACUUUAAAUGGUAAAUUAAAAUUCAGUUAUGGACACAAAUACCUAUUUAAUUUGAAUCGAGCAAUCCCCUGUACAUAAAUAUUAGGAAUAAACUCAUUUGCAUAUUAUUCAACAUAUUUUCCUACUUUAACAUUUUUUUUCUCUUGAAUGCAAUGUUGUUUGACAAGAUCCAGUUGGAAAAUUAAUAAUUUGAUAAAAAAGUAAAUAAAAAUCUUAAUUUUAUUACAAAUGUACAUUCUUUUUACAAAUAAAACAACAAAAUGAGAGCCAAUAACAAAAUUCCUUAGCCAAUUCAGACAAGAUUCAAAAUAAUUGUGUAUCGAUACUAGGAAACUGAAAUCCUUCAACUUCAAGUAUCAACCGAAAUUCAAAAUUUAGUUUAGAUCUAAAAUGUUAACAAUGAGAUCGAAAUUCAUAUUCUUAAACUGACUAGAACCCUGGUCAAUGUUAUCAGUAUUUGCAUCACAUUUAACAUGGGAAACCAUACAUACAUACUCAAAUAUACAUAACAAGGUAUUCACAUGCACAUUUUACAAAAAAUUCACACUUAUUUGGAUUUAAAACUAAAAGUUCUUUUUCUGGUCUUAUUGAAAGUUGCAAAUAUUCUUAUUUAUGAGAAGAGGAAAAGCCAUUUCUUUUGUUAUGACCAUAACCUACAUCAGAGAGCACUUCGGUAAGGGGUUAUUAUGUCGUUAUGACCAUAACCUAUAUCAGAGAGCACUAAGGUAAUGGGCUAUUAUGCAAGUUAUUAUACUUGCUGCCUCCUUCUGGUGAAAAAAAGAAAAUAUGCUGUUCAAGCCUAAAAUAAUUUUAAUUCAUAAAUUAAAUCUAUUGCUUAACUGGCAGGCAUCCCCUUUGCUAUCAUGCUAAAUAACACGUUAGUUAAAAAAAUUCUUGUAUAGGACUAUUUUGAAGAAUUAUCACUGAGUUAUUACAUCAUUCAUGGCACAAAAAUAUCACAAAGUUUAUGACAAAGCACUUACCAUUUAAUUACAAAAUCUGAUUAUAUGUUUAAAACAAAAAAAGAGCACUAAUACUUCAAAUUGCACUAACCUAGGAUUAUUUGAGUGGAGGAAAAACCCCAAUAUCAACAAGGCUUUUAUGGGGACUUCAGAGUAUAUCUGAAUAAUUAGAAAAACUAUGUGAUAUUUUAUGAUUCUUAACCUCGAGUUGAAAAGUUCAUUUGCCUAUACUUUGCGUUUUCCUCUGAAACAUGUAAAAAAUACUGAAAUCAAUAAAUUAACACAAAAAUUUGUUGUAAAUAAACUCUUCAGCACACUUUGUGCAACACAGCCAAAGAAAACAUCUUAUAAAAUAAUGAUAAAAGAUAAAAAAAAAAUCUUGACAUAUUUCAAAUGUUACAAUAAUACUAAUGUGAUUAACAAAUUAUCAUGUGCACUUUAAAUAAUGGGAGAACUUUACUCAAUUAUGCAACAAUACUACAGUUUGCAAGUUAUGAUUAUAUAGAAAAUUUAAGCUCAGAAGAGUUAUUUAUCAGAACAAAAUACUUAAUUUAAG
rnacentral:lncRNA from 1 species